UUAAAGUUUAGUGACUAAAUGUUAAAACUUUAAUCGCUAUUGAGUUUUAAAGUGGAAAAUGCAUAAUGACUUAAUUAGCAAUUAUCCAAACGACCUAAAUGGUUAAUAAACCAUUGUUUUGUAUGAGAUAGUGGAAAAUGAUUAUGAUAACCACAUAGUUUUCACAAAAAACCAUGAAAUGUCCCUCAACCUUUAAAAGUUUU
rnacentral:lncRNA from 1 species